UGAUUAGUCAACAUGAAGUCAUUCCAGUGGGCCUUAAUCUAUCUAAUAUGACUGGCAUCCUUAUAAAACGAAAUUAGGACACAGAGACAUGCACACAGAGACAACAGGUGGUGAAGGUGUUGGCAGAGAUUGGGAGAUGCUUCCACGAGCUAAGGAAAGCCUAAGAUCAGUGCCAUCCACCAGAAAGUAGCUGAGAAGCCAGAAAGAGCCUCCCCAGCAGCCUUUCAGGAAAACCAACCCUGCUGGCACCUUCAUCUCAGACUUCCAGCCUCCAAAUCUGUGAGACAACACAUUUCUGCUGUUGGAACCACCCUGUCUGUGAUACUUUGCUAACACAGCUCUGUGCAUAAAUUGCAGCCAUUUCCUUUGACCAUGAAGAAGCUGGAAAAGGAAAGGAGGAAAAGAAGAUUGGUGACUCACAGAAGAAACUCGGCCCCACUGAGCUGGCUGGAGGGCUGUUCAGAGAGGGGAUGGAGAAUUGGAGCUGCCUCUUCUGUGCGUAUGAUAAAGAAAACGUAGGAGGGAAUGUUGCCUUCGAGGGCGGCCUCAAUGGCCCACACCCACAUCAUUGCCACAUCUUUCCUCCAAGGCGGACACCACUCUCAGAUGGAACUGGAAUUUUAACUACAAAGAAUUAAAGAUUUGGGGACUGUUUGAUUGCUGAUGUGAACAAACCAAACAAAAAAGACAUCUUGAGACAAUGGGGAAAAUUUGAACAGGGACUGAGCAUUAGAUAAAAUUAAAGAUUUAUUUUUGUCUUUACCAAAAGUGUCAAUGACACAGUGAUUUUGUCAAAGAUAAAAGGUCUUAUUGUCAAAGAUAAAGAGGUCAACGGUAAAAUGACCUGGCUUCUGGGAUUUAUUUUAAAAUAUGCUAGAAAAAAAAAUAGAGAGGUUGAGUUAAAACAACAUUGGCAAGCUGUCAAUGGUCAAGUAGUGAAUGAGAAACACAUGGAAAUUCACUGUAUUCGAUUUUAUGUAUGUUUGAACGUUUCCAUUAAAAAUCUUUUUAAAUAAAAAGAAUGGAAAGAUUGGAAAAAACACUCAGGUCUCCAAUCCUGAUAAAAAAGAAAUUUCUUCUUUUGGUGGGUAGGGGAGAGAAGUUUAAAACCCCCUGUUCCUGCUACAGGAAAUAAUAAUAAUAAAGUGGCAUGGAGAGAAUGAUAGGGGACUUAAGAGUUGAAAAAAUUUAGUUUAUAAUAGCUAAUAAACUUAGUAAUCAAUGCAUGUAAAAGCUUUUGUUCCAGGAACUGAAGGUACGACCCACCUUGACUCCAGGAGACCAUAAGCAGUUCCACCUUUGUUUCUCAGAAGGACUGCAAGCAACUCAAGGUGAUAUCUGAGCCAUUGUACUCCAGAGUGAGAUGACCACCACCCAGGACACAGCUUCAGACCACUGCCUGGGGCACAGCCUGACCCCACCGCCCAGGGCAAGAAUGCUAAAGUUGUUUUUUUCUAAUCCAAUUAAUUUUUCCCCCAAUUUCAACCCCCCUCAUUGUACUUUGUUUAUUCCCUGCUAUAAAAACCUUGGCCUGUAAAGACAAGACAAGAUGGUCUGUUAGGGUGUGAAUCUGCUGUCUUCUCAGAUCGCUGACCAUCUGAAUAAAGUGCCCAUAAAGAUUCAA